CUGGAUCACUUUCUGAUGUUUUUAUAUUAUACACACACCCGCGAGAAGAGAGGAGGAGGGUAUAUCUCUCUCUGUGUGUGUGUGUGUGCAAGAGGGGGAAAAGGUAUGGUGUAUUUUUGUAUAUACUUGCCUGUGUGUACCCCUUGUGUAUUGUGAGCACCACACACUCUCUUCUUCGCACUACACAUAUAUCUCCUCGACACAUUGUGCGCAUAUAUAUAUAUAUAUAUAAUGUGUGUGCUCUAAGUGUUGUGGAAAAAGUAACUUGCCGCUUGACCUCGUGUGUGGAUAUGGUGUGUAGUGUCUGUGUGGUGUUUGUUUAUAUAUAUAUAUACAUAUAAACAGGUGCGCACAUACACACACCCAGAAAAGAACACGUCGUGAAGCACGGCCCCAACAACGUGUCGCGAUGGAUGACUUGUCUUCCUAUUUCUUAAAAAAACACAACAAAGUGCGAUAAGUGGUAUAA
rnacentral:misc_RNA from 1 species